rnacentral:rRNA from 1 species
CCUACGGGAGACAGCAGUGAGGAAUAUUGGUCAAUGGCCGUAAGGCUGAACCAGCCAAGUCGCGUGAAGGAAGAAGGAUCUAUGGUUUGUAAACUUCUUUUAUAGGGGAAUAAAGGUAUCCACGUGUGGAUCUUUGCAUGUACCCUAUGAAUAAGCAUCGGCUAACUCCGUGCCAGCAGCCGCGGUAAUACGGAGGAUGCGAGCGUUAUCCGGAUUUAUUGGGUUUAACGGGUGCGCAGGCGGCGUGUCAAGUCAGCGGUAAAAUGUCGGGGCUCAACCCCGGCCGGCCGUUGAAACUGGCGUGCUCGAGUGGGAGAGAGGUAAGCGGAAUUCGUGGUGUAGCGGUGAAAUGCAUAGAUAUCACGAAGAACCCCGAUGGCGAAGGCAGCAUACCGGCUCCAAACUGACGCUGAGGCACGAAAGCGUGGGUAUCGAACAGGAUUAGAUACCCUUGUAGUC